rnacentral:rRNA from 1 species
UACAGAGGGGGCAAGCGUUGUUCGGAAUUACUGGGCGUAAAGGGCGCGUAGGCGGCCUUCUAAGUCAGACGUGAAAUCCCUCGGCUCAACCGGGGAACUGCGUUUGAUACUGUCGGGCUAGAGUGUGGAAGGGGCGAUUGGAAUUCCGUGUGUAGCGGUGAAAUGCGUAGAUAUACGGAGGAACACCAGGGGCGAAGGCGGAUCGCUGGGCCAACACUGACGCUGAUGUGCGAAAGCUAGGGGAGCAAACGGG